rnacentral:rRNA from 1 species
AGAGUUUGAUCAUGGCUCAGGAUGAACGCUAGCGGCAGACUUAAUACAUGCAAGUCGAGGGGCAGCAUGGUGUAGCAAUACACUGAUGGCGACCGGCAAACGGGUGCGGAACACGUACAGAACCUUCCUUCGAGCGGGGAAUAGCCCAGAGAAAUUUGGAUUAAUACCCCAUAGUAUAGCGGAGAGGCAUCUCUCUGUUAUUAAAGAUUUAUCACUUGAAGAUGGCUGUGCGGCUGAUUAGGUAGUUGGCGGGGUAACGGCCCACCAAGCCUGCGAUCAGUAACUGGUGUGAGAGCACGACCAGUCACACGGGCACUGAGACACGGGCCCGACUCCUACGGGAGGCAGCAGUAAGGAAUAUUGGUCAAUGGACGAAAGUCUGAACCAGCCAUGCCGCGUGGAGGAUGAAGGUCCUCUGGAUUGUAAACUUCUUUUAUAUGGGACGAAAAAAGGUCUUUCUAGAUCGUCUGACGGUACCAUAUGAAUAAGCACCGGCUAACUCCGUGCCAGCAGCCGCGGUAAUACGGAGGGUGCAAGCGUUAUCCGGAUUCACUGGGUUUAAAGGGUGCGUAGGUGGGUUGGUAAGUCAGUGGUGAAAUCCCCGAGCUUAACUUGGGAACUGCCAUUGAUACUAUCAGUCUUGAAUACCGUGGAGGUCAGCGGAAUAUGUCAUGUAGCGGUGAAAUGCUUAGAUAUGACAUAGAACACCAAUUGCGAAGGCAGCUGGCUACUCGAAUAUUGACACUGAGGCACGAAAGCGUGGGGAUCAAACAGGAUUAGAUACCCUGGUAGUCCACGCCCUAAACUAUGGAUACUCGACAUUUGCGAUAAACUGUAAGUGUCUGAGCGAAAGCAUUAAGUAUCCCACCUGGGAAGUACGACCGCAAGGUUGAAACUCAAAGGAAUUGGCGGGGGUCCGCACAAGCGGUGGAGCAUGUGGUUUAAUUCGAUGAUACGCGAGGAACCUUACCUGGGCUAGAAUGCUGGGAGACCGUGGUGAAAGCUCACUUUGUAGCAAUACACUGCCAGUAAAGNGCUGCAUGGCCUGUCGUCAGCUCGUGCCGUGAGNGUUGGGGUUAAGUCCCGCAACGGAGCGCACCCCCAUCACUA